GUCGGUACGACAUUGCUCACAUUGCUUCCAGUAUUACUUGGCCAGCUCGGGUGCUGGCUUUUUUUU
rfam:Serratia sp. Leaf50 contig_1, whole genome shotgun sequence.